AUAAAUAAAUAAAAAAAGAAAAAGCUAUCAUUUUUCUCUUCCCCUUCACCGAAAUAUGCAGCAAAGAAAGGGUUUUGAAGCUGGAAAAUUUCAGCAACAUAUUUCCCUUGCUUAGUUUCCAGGUUAGCUCGGGUUGGAGGCCGUCAGAGAUAUUAUCACCCUAUCGAGUUAACGUUAUCGGACCCAAGAGCAAAGAGGAACUAGACCAGACAAGGGAAAGGAGAAAGCGAUCGAAUAGCCUACCCGCAACUGUUCAAAAAUAUCCGAGAUUUUGUUCAUCAGCUAUCGGACUCGGGAGUGUCAAAGUCGAAGUCGUCCACACUAUCAAAGCCCUUUUGGUACUCUUUUAGUUGAACUUUGAAAAUGGCAUGUAUAGGACUGCCCUUUGUUGUUAGUCAUGUACUUUUUGGUAAUGUAUAUAUUUGGAUAGCCAUGCGAAAAUGGCUUAUAUAUACUUUGAGCAUAGCAUUAUAAUCGUUUUGUAUGUUGUUCAUUGAGAGGUAUGGAAAUUUUUGGUAACGAUUAGCCA